rnacentral:rRNA from 1 species
UGGGGAAUAUUGCACAAUGGGCGCAAGCCUGAUGCAGCCAUGCCGCGUGUGUGAAGAAGGCCUUCGGGUUGUAAAGCACUUUCAGCGGGGAGGAAGGCGUUAAGGUUAAUAACCUUGGCGAUUGACGUUACCCGCAGAAGAAGCACCGGCUAACUCCGUGCCAGCAGCCGCGGUAAUACGGAGGGUGCAAGCGUUAAUCGGAAUUACUGGGCGUAAAGCGCACGCAGGCGGUUUGUUAAGUCAGAUGUGAAAUCCCCGGGCUCAACCUAGGAACUGCAUCUGAUACUGGCAAGCUUGAGUCUCGUAGAGGGGGGUAGAAUUCCAGGUGUAGCGGUGAAAUGCGUAGAGAUCUGGAGGAAUACCGGUGGCGAAGGCGGCCCCCUGGACGAAGACUGACGCUCAGGUGCGAAAGCGUGGGGAGCAAACAGG